rnacentral:rRNA from 1 species
UACGUAGGCAGCAAGCGUUGUUCGGAGUUACUGGGCGUAAAGGGUGCGUAGGCGGCUUUUUAAGUUUGGUGUGAAAUCUCCCGGCUCAACUGGGAGGGUGCGCCGAAUACUGAGAGGCUAGAGUGCGGGAGAGGAAAGUGGAAUUCCUGGUGUAGCGGUGAAAUGCGUAGAUAUCAGGAGGAACACCGGUGGCGAAGGCGGGUCUCUGGGCCGUAACUGACGCUGAGGAGCGAAAGCAUGGGGAGCGAACAGG